rnacentral:rRNA from 1 species
UACGGAGGGUGCAAGCGUUAAUCGGAAUUACUGGGCGUAAAGCGUGCGCAGGCGGUUUGUUAAGUCUGCUGUGAAAUCCCCGAGCUCAACUUGGGAAUUGCAGUGGAUACUGGCGAGCUAGAGUGUGUCAGAGGAUGGUGGAAUUCCCGGUGUAGCGGUGAAAUGCGUAGAGAUCGGGAGGAACAUCAGUGGCGAAGGCGGCCAUCUGGGACAACACUGACGCUGAAGCACGAAAGCGUGGGGAGCAAACAGG